rnacentral:lncRNA from 1 species
GGUCACUUGGGGUGUGGUCUCCUGGAGGGAGGCCUCUGAACCACACCGCUGGUGUGGUCCCCAGCAAGCUAACCUCCAUAAGCUGCGGGGUCCUCAUGUGCAAAACGUAAGAGUGGCCACCUCAGAGUCAGGAGGCCCGAAGCAGACAAUGCAUGUCACAUGUUUAGUGCUUGGCACUAAGAAAGUCCCAGGUAAAGAGGGUUGUGAGGCACGAGUCAUCUGUGGGGCAGCAGCUCUGAAGAGCAUGGCAGCAACGGAUCUGGAGGGUCUCAGCAUUGCCAACUGACCGGAAGACCCAAGAUAUCCAAGAAUUCUCUGGAAAUGAGAGUCACCCCCUCUGCUAGCCUCCAGUCAAAUCUGUCUUUUAAAAAAAUGCUCCCUGGAAACCAUCAAGAAAAUCCUUUAGGAAAUUCUGAAUAUUUAUAGAUUUUUUUUCGCAAUUUCAAUUUACAUAAAACUCACCACCCGGGAGAAAAUGCCUGAGUCAGGUUGAGAGCUGGAGCUGGUAGAUUUGUUGUGUGGGGUUAAUGUGGAGUUUUCAGUCCUCGCUGAGGCGGAAUUGCCUGAAUGAUCGUCUCUCUCUGCAUAACACUCAAACUCUAAUGGCAACAACAUGAAAUAAUAUCUCACUGGUAGAAGAAGAGGAAAGAGGAGGAGAGAAAUAAUCAAGUCUGGCCUAAGAGAAUCCAUGAUAUUGACAAAUACAUAUUUUAAUAUAGCAUACUUUCCGACAAGUGAACCCUAACGAGUCCUCCGGAUUAUCUAGACCUUUUAUGUUCAUUCUCGUGAAAAGGCAAAGCUGUUCCUCCCUAAAAGUCUGGAGGGAAAAUUAUAGAAGAUGAGACCUUCCCAGUGUUAACCCUGACCCUACAGGAGAGGAGGAACAGAGAGCAAAAAUCAAGAAUCAAGAUAGUAGGGAAAAGGAAGAAUGAACUUAGACGAGAAAGAGGCUACUGUCUCCAUAGUUGGUGGUGAUACAGCCCUGGGCGGCAAAAGGCAGCCAGCCCAGGUCUGCAGGGCCCUGCAUCCAGGAACGUGCUCAUGCCCAGUGGUAGAGCUGGGCUGCCCCCUUACCCUUCAGCUCAGACCUUGGCAAGAUGGAUAGUCAGAGCAUUUGGUCAACUUCUUCCUUGGGGACAUGAAUUCAGAGCUUCUUGGAACACACCCACCCCCUCAACUACCCUGCAAGCAAAGCAGGAUAUGAGUUUUUUAAACCCCAAUAUAUUUUGCCAAAUAAGAGAGUGUUAAUACCCCUCCCUCCCCCACUCUGCAUGAAUUGGAUUACUUAAAGCGUCUUUUCAGAGACGUCAGCAGUUUAAUAGAGGCAAUAAGUCAGGGCUGCCCUUGUGUUUUAUUUUUCUGCCAGUAUUUAGUUAAUUAAAGAAUGCAAAUUAAAACACCUUAAUUUAUAUAAUA